rnacentral:rRNA from 1 species
GUCUAUGGCCAUGCCACCCUGAACAAGCCCGAUCCCGUCUGAUCUCGGAAGCUAAGCAGAGUCGGGCCUGGAGAGUACUUGGAUGGGAGACCACCUAGGGAGACCAGGCGCUGUAGGCG